GGCCAAAUACCCUAAGCUUUAAUUUCUUUCUGGGCCAAAUACCCUAAGCUUUAUUUCCUUUCUUUCUCUCUCGAGUUUCGGCAAAAACAAGACAAUAUGCAUGGUUAUUUUAAUUUCAUGUUUUGUUAUAUACAUAUUUUACAUAUUUAACCUUUAAACUACAAUAUAAAACCAUUAUAAUAUAAGGUCACAACCAUCCAUCAUAUAUAAUUAUGGUUUAAUUGCAACUUAAAUACCUUAUGCAAUAAAGACAACAUCAAUCCAGC
rnacentral:lncRNA from 1 species